CAAUAGCGUAUAUUAAAGUUGUUGCGGUUAAAAAGCUCGUAGUUGGAUUUCUGCUGAGAACGACCGGUCCGCCCUUUGGGUGUGUAUCUGGCUCUUUCUUGGCAUCUUCUUGGUGAACGUUGCUGCACUUGACUGUGUGGAGCGCUACCCAGGACUUUUACUUUGAGGAAAUUAGAGUGUUUCAAGCAGGCAUACGCCUUGAAUACAUUAGCAUGGAAUAAUAAGAUAGGACCUCGGUUCUAUUUUGUUGGUUUCUAGAGCUGAGGUAAUGAUUAAUAGGGAUAGUUGGGGGCAUUCGUAUUUAGCCGUCAGAGGUGAAAUUCUUGGAUCUGCUAAAGACGGACAACUGCGAAAGCGUUUGCCCAGGAUGUUUUCAUUGA
rnacentral:rRNA from 1 species